rnacentral:rRNA from 1 species
UCGGGAAUUUUGGGCAAUGGGCGAAAGCCUGACCCAGCAACGCCGCGUGAAGGAUGAAGUAUUUCGGUAUGUAAACUUCGAAAGAAUAGGAAGAAUAAAUGACGGUACUAUUUAUAAGGUCCGGCUAACUACGUGCCAGCAGCCGCGGUAAUACGUAGGGACCAAGCGUUGUUCGGAUUUACUGGGCGUAAAGGGCGCGUAGGCGGCAAUUCAAGUCAUCUGUGAAAUCUCCGGGCUUAACUCGGAACGGUCAGAUGAUACUGCUUUGCUAGAGUGCAGAAGGGGGCAAUCGGAAUUCUUGGUGUAGCGGUGAAAUGCGUAGAUAUCAAGAGGAACACCUGAGGUGAAGACGGGUUGCUGGGCUGACACUGACGCUGAGGCGCGAAAGCCAGGGGAGCAAACGGGAUUAGAUACCCCGGUAGUCCCUGAGCGGGCUGGCAAGGCGCAU